UAGGGAAUCUUCCGCAAUGGGCGAAAGCCUGACGGAGCAACGCCGCGUGAGUGAUGAAGGUCUUCGGAUCGUAAAACUCUGUUAUUAGGGAAGAACAAAUGUGUAAGUAACUAUGCACGUCUUGACGGUACCUAAUCAGAAAGCCACGGCUAACUACGUGCCAGCAGCCGCGGUAAUACGUAGGUGGCAAGCGUUAUCCGGAAUUAUUGGGCGUAAAGCGCGCGUAGGCGGUUUUUUAAGUCUGAUGUGAAAGCCCACGGCUCAACCGUGGAGGGUCAUUGGAAACUGGAAAACUUGAGUGCAGAAGAGGAAAGUGGAAUUCCAAGUGUAGCGGUGAAAUGCGCAGAGAUAUGGAGGAACACCAAUGGCGAAGGCGACUUUCUGGUCUGUAACUGACGCAGAUGUGCGAAAGCGUGGGGAUCAAACAGG
rnacentral:rRNA from 1 species